AUAUGAAUUGAACAUUACUGGGUUUUUUCACUCUUCCUUUUUUGCCGUUUGUGUUGUUAAAUGGCUGAUCUGUGGGGUACGGAACCUGGAGUUUUAGUACUGGUUGCUUCAUUCCUUAGAAAUGCUGAAGUCUCAGAUCUGUAGAUGAUGGAUAACUUGUGUUCACCAACUUAAAUUAUUUAAUAUGCUCGUGUGCAUAAAUAUGAUAUUGAGAAAAAACAUUUAGUUGCAUUUACAUUUAUUUACAGAAGUACUGGAAAUGAUUUCCUCUAACUUGUAAGCACUUCUGAAUAGUAAACAACUGUCAUAAAUCUGUGCUACCAACCUUGACAAGAAAUAACCAUGUUGCCAAUCUAUGCAUGUCAUAGACUUGCAACUAUGUAUCUACUGUAUAGAGACGUUUUGAACACCCUAUACUUCUGAUUUCUCACAUUCACUUACAACAACAUGACUGAAGCACACAAUUGUGUGGUGAGGGUGAUAUCAGGACCACUUUUUAAAGGUCACAAAAUAAUGCAAAACCUAACCUAACUUUUUUUUAAUUGUUAGGGUAACUUGUUUGUAGAAUGUAGAAUUGCAUGACAGUUAUACCAAAUGCAGCUUUCAGUUUGAUGGUGAUAACUAAUUAAUGCUUUUCUUCUUUUCCUUUCUCAGUGUGUGAAAUUUUGUGAAUGAAAAAUGAUGAAAUUGUCACAGCUUAAUAUAUUAUUUAGAAGUUAUCAAUUACAAGCAUGGCAACACUGUGGAAACUUAAGUAGUAAGGUUCCCAAAUAGAAAAUAGUUUGCUACUACUGCUGCUGCUACCAGCACCCUAAUGACUAAUGUGGUGGUGGUGAUAAUGAUGGUAAUGAUAAUAAAUGACAGCAGCAGUGGUGGUGGUGGUAGGAGUAGGAGUAAUGGCAACAGUUACAGCAUUCUGUAACAUAUUUACAAUUGCAGACACUGUGGCUAAUGAAUGAGCUAAAUUGUGUAUUCUUAAUAGUAAAACAACCAUCAGAUAGGAUUAUGCAAAACACGGCUACACAUAUCAGCUCAUAUGCCAUCAUCUAAUGCUUUUUUGGUGUGCUGUUAUUUAAAACAAAUACCAUAAAGGUAUACAUUAAAAUGCCAUUCAUAAUCCAGCAUUAGUAUUAGCAUGCAUAUAUAUGUUAUAACCAUUGUGAUAGUUUUUUUGUGAUAUUUCCUCUUUGUUAUUCAUAGGUUUUAUGAUGUCUUUUGUUUUGUUUUGUUUACAAGUUUUCCUGUUUCACAUUUGUCAUAUCUCAUUUUAUCUUUCUGGUGUCAUUUGCUAGUGUCCUGUUUCUGCAAGGCCAAGAAACAUCUAAAAUGUUAACUUUGUAGGAAUUUUCACUAUUUCCCAUUUUACUGUUAAAUUACAGAGUUACACUACCUAAACACAACAGUAAUGCAACAUUUGUAGACUGGAAGUGUGUGCAGUAGGAGGGUAGGCUUAAUUAAUUUUCCUUGUUUUUAUGUUUACAGAUGAGCUAAUACUUUGUAGACUGUUACUGUAAAAUGUGAGACAAGGUAUUGAUUUACAGAAAAGCUUCAGUUUUUUAAAGGCUGAUGAGGACUGAUUGAAUGCAUAUGCAAAAGUUAAAGGAUAAGUGAAAUUUGAUAUGGGUGUGAGCUUAUCUGUGCUUGUGUGCCUUUCACAGCAGGCUCAAGUGGAGGACAGGUUAUUAGCGGUGGAUCAACUUUCCCAGCUUGGGUUGGACUCAGACAGCAAGCAUACCAGUACAGCAGUACACCAGUGAAACCUGCUACUGAUAAACUGGUGGUAUCACUAAGUGAAGAGUUACGGACCAGAAAAGUACAAGGGUUGCUGCAGGAGAUUGGUGAUGCUGCGGCUGAAGAGGAGGGCUUGGCGGCCCUGCAAGCCACAGGCUGGGACGUACAAGCUGCUGCAAGACACGUUAAGCUUAGUCGACUGCUGAGGCUGGGCAUAGCUUCAAGACAUCAGUGUGAAGUAGCACUACAGAAAUCAAGCUGGAAUCUUGAACAAGCCGCAUGCACAAUAUUGGAUGGAUUGAAGAGUUAAAGUCAGUAUCCUUGGGUUGGGUUUGCACAGCUGAUUUUGGGAUAUAUAUUUUGUGUAGCUAAAAUUUGGUAGCACAUCCACCAAACACUUUUUGGUGUCAUGAAACCAAGAUCAUUCUUAAUUGAGUCCUACAUUAUAUUCUUUUUAUGGUUAUUCAGUUGUAGUUAUAUGCAGAUUUACAUUCUGGUUUUGACUCUACAUAUUGAAAAUUAUUUUUCUGAAUGUCAUAGCAUAAAUUAAACUAGACAGUAUACCUACUUCAAUUGUCGUGAAUGUAGAAAUAAAUUGUGUCUCAGGUUAUAAUUUUUGAGCCACAACAAACUAGUAGCAAAUAUGACAUUAUACAUGUGUAUUAUUUUAGUAUAAUACAAGGUUCUGGAGUGUACACAUUUAAUUUUGAGAUUUUUAUCUGCAAGAAUAAAUGUGGAUGAAUACGCAGCUUACAUGUUUGCUUAAUGAAAUAAAAACUGUAAUUGAAUUACAAAAUCACAAAAAUAAUCUGACUGAAAUGUAUAGAUGUAUACCAUAAAUAUUUGUUGAAUUUUUCAGUUAUACACAAUAAUGCCAUUGUGAUAGUAACAUAUUACAUAUUUGAUACAUUAAUGUUCUGGGAAGCUGAAGGCAAAACAAGUGUGCAGGUUUGGAAACAGUUUUUUUAUAUCUCAGAUGUUAGACUGUGAAAUACUCUCCUUUUUGUAUUUAUAAUAAUAUAUAGGGAAAUCCAUUCAAGAAUAUUUCUUCUGUUGACUGUAAUGUUGUAAUGGAAAUAUGUUGAAGUAAUUAAGAUUGUUGCAUUGGUGACUGAAUGUAUUAGCAGAAAAAUUUAAUAAGUGGGUAAAGGUUAAAAAUGCACAAUACAAAAAGCAGAUUUUGUCUUACCUUUGUAAA